CCAGGGUUUUCCAGGUUAAUACAGUAUUCACACAGAAAGAGACAGCUACUAAAUGCACACUGCAGAGCUUUGCUUAUGUGCAUUAGCCAAGAGAAAAAAAUCACGGUGUCUGCAUCCCUGCCGCUGUUUUUUAAUCACCCUCAUUUUGCUCAUACAAUAUACCUGGAAACUGCUUAGCGAGAAAGGAAAUUCAGUAGUAAAACAGGAAUAUUCAGCAACAAAGCUGGCAAUGGAGCACGUCCAAAAGGACUGAUCACACAGCAAAUUCCUCCCUGGUGCAACCACAGCAGGACUUCAGCUUUUACA
rnacentral:lncRNA from 1 species